rnacentral:rRNA from 1 species
CCUACGGGGUGCUGCAGUGGGGAAUAUUGCACAAUGGGGGGAACCCUGAUGCAGCGACGCCGCGUGGGUGAGGAAGUACUUCGGUAUGUAAAGCCCUAUCAGCAGGGAAGAAAAUGACGGUACCUGACUAAGAAGCCCCGGCUAACUACGUGCCAGCAGCCGCGGUAAUACGUAGGGGGCAAGCGUUAUCCGGAUUUACUGGGUGUAAAGGGAGCGUAGACGGCGUGCCAAGUCUGAUGUGAAAGGACGGGGCUCAACCCCGGGACUGCAGUGGAAACUGGCAGGCUGGAGUGCAGGAGGGGCAAGCGGAAUUCCUAGUGUAGCGGUGAAAUGCGUAGAUAUUAGGAGGAACACCGGUGGCGAAGGCGGCUUGCUGGACGGUAACUGACGUUGAGGCUCGAAAGCGUGGGGAGCAAACAGGAUUAGAUACCCGAGUAGUC